rnacentral:rRNA from 1 species
GACGAACGCUGGCGGCGUGCUUAACACAUGCAAGUCGAACGGUAAGGCCCUUCGGGGUACACGAGUGGCGAACGGGUGAGUAACACGUGGGUGAUCUGCCCUGCACUUCGGGAUAAGCCUGGGAAACUGGGUCUAAUACCGGAUAGGACCACUGCGUGCAUGGGUGGUGGUGGAAAGCUUUUGCGGUGUGGGAUGGGCCCGCGGCCUAUCAGCUUGUUGGUGGGGUGAUGGCCUACCAAGGCGACGACGGGUAGCCGGCCUGAGAGGGUGACCGGCCACACUGGGACUGGGAUACGGCCCAGACUCCUACGGGAGGCAGCAGUGGGGAAUAUUGCACAAUGGGCGCAAGCCUGAUGCAGCGACGCCGCGUGAGGGAUGACGGCCUUCGGGUUGUAAACCUCUUUCAGCACCGACGAAGCGCAAGUGACGGUAGGUGCAGAAGAAGGACCGGCCAACUACGUGCCAGCCGCCGCAGUAA